GGGCCCGCACAAGCAGUGGAGCAUGUGGUUUAAUUCGAUGCAACGCGAAGAACCUUACCAGGCCUUGACAUCCUCGGAACUUUCUAGAGAUAGAUUGGUGCCUUCGGGAACCGAGUGACAGGUGCUGCAUGGCUGUCGUCAGCUCGUGUCGUGAGAUGUUGGGUUAAGUCCCGUAACGAGCGCAACCCCUAUCGUUAGUUGCCAGCAUUUAGUUGGGCACUCUAGCGAGACUGCCGGUGAUAAGCCGGAGGAAGGCGGGGAUGACGUCAAGUCCUCAUGGCCCUUAUGGGCUGGGCUACACACGUGCUACAAUGGCAGUGACAGAGGGACGCUACCAGGUGACUGGAUGCAAA
rnacentral:rRNA from 1 species